CGGACCGGCGCACGGGUGAGUAACACGUAUGCAACCUGGCCGCCACAGGGGGAUAACCCGCGGAAACGCGGCCUAAUACCCCGUGACGCCACCGGAGGGCAUCCUCCGGUGGCCAAAGGAGCGAUCCGGUGGCGGAUGGGCAUGCGGCGCAUUAGCUAGACGGCGGGGUGACGGCCCACCGUGGCGACGAUGCGUAGGGGUUCUGAGAGGAAGGCCCCCCACACUGGUACUGAGACACGGACCAGACUCCUACGGGAGGCAGCAG
rnacentral:rRNA from 1 species